GAUGAACGCUAGCGGCAGGCCUAAUACAUGCAAGUCGAACGGUGUCUUCGGACAUAGUGGCGCACGGGUGCGUAACACGUAUGCAACCUACCUUACAUUGGGGGAUAGCCUUUCGAAAGGGAGAUUAAUACCGCAUAAGACAGUAGCUGGGCAUCCAGCAGCUGUUAAAGAUUUAUCGAUGUAAGCUGGGCAUGCGUCCAAUAAGCUAGUUGGUGAGGUAACGGCUCACCAAGGCAAUGAUUGGUAGGGGAACUGAGAGGUCAAUCCCCCACACUGACACUGAGAUACGGGCCAGACUCCUACGGGAGGCAGCAGUAGGGAAUAUUGGGCAAUGGACGCAAGUCUGACCCAGCCAUGCCGCGUGCAGGAUGAAGGCGUUAUGCGUUGUAAACUGCUUUUAUACAGGAAGAAACGACUCUUGCGAGAGGCAUUGACGGUACUGUAUGAAUAAGCACCGGCUAACUCCGUGCCAGCCGCCGCGGUAAUAC
rnacentral:rRNA from 1 species